AGAGUUUGAUCAUGGCUCAGAUUGAACGCUGGCGGCAGGCCUAACACAUGCAAGUCGAGCGCGAAAGAUCUUCGGAUUGAGUAGAGCGGCGGACGGGUGAGUAACGCGUAGGAAUCUACCCAGUAGUGGGGGACAACAUGGGGAAACUCAUGCUAAUACCGCAUACGCCCUAUGGGGGAAAGCGGGGGACCUUCGGGCCUCGCGCUAUUGGAUGAGCCUGCGUUGGAUUAGCUUGUUGGUGAGGUAAAGGCUCACCAAGGCGACGAUCCAUAGCUGGUCUGAGAGGAUGAUCAGCCACACCGGGACUGAGACACGGCCCGGACUCCUACGGGAGGCAGCAGUGGGGGAUAUUGCGCAAUGGGCGAAAGCCUGACGCAGCCGUGCCGCGUGUGUGAAGAAGGCCUUCGGGUUGUAAAGCACUUUCAAUUGGGAAGAAAGGUUGUGCGUUAAUAGUGUACAGCUGUGACAUUACCUUUAGAAGAAGCACCGGCUAACUCCGUGCCAGCAGCCGCGGUAAUACGGAGGGUGCGAGCGUUAAUCGGAAUUACUGGGCGUAAAGCGCGCGUAGGCGGUUUGUUAAGUCGGAUGUGAAAGCCCCGGGCUCAACCUGGGAACUGCACCCGAUACUGAUCGACUGGAGUGCGAAAGAGGGAGGUAGAAUUCCACGUGUAGCGGUGAAAUGCGUAGAUAUGUGGAGGAAUACCGGUGGCGAUGGCGGCCUCCUGGCUCGACACUGACGCUGAGGUGCGAAAGCGUGGGGAUCAAACAGGAUUAGAUACCCUGGUAGUCCACGCCGUAAACGAUGUCUACUAGCCGUUGGGAGACUUGAUUUCUUGGUGGCGCAGUUAACGCGAUAAGUAGACCGCCUGGGGAGUACGGCCGCAAGGUUAAAACUCAAAUGAAUUGACGGGGGCCCGCACAAGCGGUGGAGCAUGUGGUUUAAUUCGAUGCAACGCGAAGAACCUUACCAGGCCUUGACAUCCUAGGAAUCCUGCAGAGAUGCGGGAGUGCCUUCGGGAAUCUAGUGACAGGUGCUGCAUGGCUGUCGUCAGCUCGUGUCGUGAGAUGUUGGGUUAAGUCCCGUAACGAGCGCAACCCUUGUCCUUAGUUGCCAGCACGUAAAGGUGGGAACUCUAAGGAGACUGCCGGUGACAAACCGGAGGAAGGUGGGGACGACGUCAAGUCAUCAUGGCCCUUACGGCCUGGGCUACACACGUGCUACAAUGG
rnacentral:rRNA from 1 species